rnacentral:lncRNA from 1 species
UUCUCUUGACUUUUCUUCUACAGCAAUGACAUCAUUGGUUUCUGUAGACUGUUCUGGAAUUGAAGAUGCGUUUGGUUGCUCCUCUUCCCUUCGUUCCGUUGAAUGUUGUUCUGGUUCUUUCUGAUUUUCCUCAACUUCAGUAACCACAGGUUCACCUUUUACUGUUUCUGUAGGCUCAACUUCAGUAGCCACAGGUUCUUCUUUUACCGUUUCUGUAGCUUGAACUUCAGUAGCCACAGGUUCUUCUUUUACCAUUUCUCUAGGAUCAACUUCAGUAACCACAGGUUUGACUUUUACUGAUUCUGUCAGAUCAACUUCAGUAACCAGGGGUUCUUUUACUGUUUUUGUAAUUUCAACUUCUGUAGCCACAGCUUCUUCUUUUACUGUCUCUGUAGGAUCAACUUCAGUAACUAUAGGUUCGUCUUUUACCGUUUCUGUUGCCUCGAAUUCAGUAGCUGCAGGUUCAUCUUUUACCAUUUCUGUAGGCUCAACUACAGUUGUCACAGGUUCUUCUUUUACGGUUUCUGUAGCUUCAACUUCAGUAGCCACAGAUUCUUCUUUUACUGUUUCUGUAGCUUCAACUUCAGUAGCCACUGGUUCUUCUUUUACUGUUUCUGUAGCUUCAACUUCAGUAGCCACUGGUUCUUCUUUUACUGUUUCUGUAGCUUCAACUUCAGUAGCUGCAGGUUCGUCUUUUACCGUUUCUGUAGCCUCAACUUCAGUUGCCACAGGUUCUUCUUUUACCGUUUCUGUAGGCUCAACUUCAGUAGCCACGGGUUCUUCUUUUACUGUUUCUGUAGCUUCAGCUUCAGUAGCUAGAGGUUCUUCUUUUACCGUUUCUGUAGGAUCAACUUCAGUAACCACAGGUUCGUCUUUUACGGUUUCUGUAACCUUAACUUCAGUAGCUGCAGGUUCUUCUUUUACUGUUUCCGUAGCCUCAACUUCAGUAGCCACAAGUUCUUCUUUUAGUGUUUCUGUAGCCUCAACUUCAGUAACCACGGGUUCUUCUUUUACUAUCUCUGCAGUCGCAACUUCGGUAACCAUGGGUUCUUCUUUCACUGUUUCUGUAGGCUCCACUUCGAUGAUUUUGGUCUCUUCCGAUAUCGCUGCUGCUGUCUUCUCCUCAUUGGCCUCGACUGUAGAUUCAACAAUUGCAAUUGCUUUUGGUUGCUCUGCCUCUUCUGAUUUUUCUUGUGAUUCUUUUUCCGGUUCUUUUGUUACUUUCGGCUCUUCUGUGGCCAGAGGCUCAAGCUCGGGCUUUUCUUCCUUUUCGGCACUUGUUUCUGAAAUUUCAGCUUGUUUCACCUUCUCUUCAAAUUGAUUAGUCUCAGUCGCAUCACUUGAUUUUUCAGUGGUUUCAGCUUCUGGAAUAUCUUCUAUCUUGGGUUGAUUCUCUUCAUUGGUUUCUACAAGUUCCUUUUCUAUCUGCUGUGAUGUUUCCUUCGCAUCAGAUUCAGUGGAUGGUGUCUCAUCAUGAUGGCUUAUCGCUGUAUCAUUUACUGGUUCUGUGACACUGAUAGUUUCUGAUUCAGUUAUCAGAUCUUUCUCCUCUUUCGGAUUAUCUGAAACAGUUUCUAUUGGUACAGAAUCAUCAGUUUUUUCUGCAGCAACAGCAGGCUCAGCCUUCACUUCAUCUUCUUUUUCUACACCUGGAUUUUGUGCAUCAUCAAUUAUGUCAGGUUUCAGACUAUCUUCAGCAGAAACAUUCAAUGCUGAAGAAUCAUCAGACUUUUCAAUCUCUGCUGCUGCAAGCUCAGCCUUAAUCUCAUCACCUUCUGUCGUGGAUGAAGGAGUAGCCUGACCUUGUGCAUCGUCAGGCUUGCCAUCAUGUUUGUCUCCAUCUUCAUUGGCUAGGGAAUUGAUCUUUUCUGCAAUAGCUUCGUCCUUUUCCGGGUUCACAAUAUCUUCAACAAAAUCCUUCAAUGCGGAAGAAUCGUCAGACCUUUCGAUCUCUCCUGCUGCAAGCUCAGUCUUCACUUCAUCUCCUUCUGUAUUCGACGAAGGAGUGGCUUGACUUUGUGUAUUGUCCGGCUUGUCGUCGUGUUUGUCUCCUUCUUCAUUGGCUAGGGAAUUCAUCUUUUCCGCAAUAGCUUCGUCCUUUUCCAGCUUCACAAUAUCUUCAACUGAAACCUUCAAUGCUGAAGAAUCAUCAGACUUUUCAAUCUCUUCUGCUGCAAGCUCAGCCUUCACCUCAUCUUCUAUCUUCGAUGAAGGAGUGGCUUGACCUUGUGCAUUGUCUGGCUUGUCAUUAUGUUUGUCUCCGUCUUCAUUGGCUAGAGAAUUCAUCUUUUCCGCAAUAGCUUCGUCCUUUUCCUGCUUCACAAAUUGCUGUAUAAUAAAAGAUAUAAAAACAUUAAUAGUUAAAUCGGUAGUGCUUACUGAAGAGACGUAUAUGUAUCAACAAAAAUGGACGUUUUGAAAAGAAAGAAAACAAACUAGCGAACAUUUUAUGAAACAUGGUAAUUUGAAACCAGUAGUGAAAGUAAGGAGCUCAUGGCCAAACUAAGGAUGUGUUAGGAUUGACUUAUUUCAGUGUAUUUUCUUGCAUAAGCAAGCACUUGUAACGCUGUUUGAGAGAGCUUAUAGAAACAAUUUAUGACAUGUCCAUAAGUUGUUCUCGGCUUAUUUUCUUAAGCUCCCAAUGAUAGCUUAUAUCGAAAUAGUUCUAUUUUAUCUUCCGUUAUAGAAAUAACUUAUACAAGAGCAUUUAUAUCAUAACAGCUUAUGUAACAAAAACAUAAUUAAGUUGUUUAUCCAAACAGGUCCUAAAGCAGUGAUAUGAAGGAUUCUUUUCACAUAAAUAGAUUUGAAACAUUCUCACAUAACAAGAAAACACAGAUGGAGGAAUCACUGGAAAGUUUAUACUUGCAAAAAGCAC